rnacentral:misc_RNA from 1 species
GAAAUGCGAUAAGUAGUGUGAAUUGCAGAAUUCAGUGAAUCAUCGAAUCUUUGAACGCACAUUGCGCCCUUUGGUAUUCCUUAGGGCAUGCCUGUUCGAGCGUCAUUUAAACCCUUCAAGCUCAGCUUGGUGUUGGGUGACUGUCCGCCGCCCCCGGGCGUGGACUCGCCCCAAAUCCAUUGGCGGCCGGUACGUAGGCUUCGAGCGCAGCAGAAACGCGAACUCGAGCCCGCGGUGUCGGCUCCCAGAAGGCAUCUCUUUUAUUUUGACCUCGGAUCAGGUAGGGAUACCCGCUGAACUUAAGC